rnacentral:misc_RNA from 1 species
AAAUCAACGAAAGGAGGUGAUCCAGUGUCUAGAAAGGUAUUGGAGAGGAGUGUCGGGACAGCUUGGGGGGCGCGCAGCUGAGGCAGCCCUCGGCUGACGGAGAACCCAGGUGGAGGGCCCCCGCCCGUAGCGGCGGAGCCGGCCUCUAACCGAUCCACCUCCUGAACUUUCGAAGGGCCGUUCCCAUCGCCGGGGACGGCCC